CAGCCGGCGCCAGUCAGUAAGAAACAUGGAGUCAGUGAAAACGGCGUCGCAACGCGGAGUAGGAGUUUAUGAUCCCUGCAUGACUUUUACGGAUCUCUUGGGGAAGCCCGCAAUUUUAAAAAAGUUUGUAAGAGUAGAGUGCGACGGAGUACCAACUCCCUACGCUGCUUGUUAUACGUGCAAAGUCAUAGUCAAAUAUGCACCUGACGACUGGCAUGCAGAAACACACUUGUAGAAGGACAAGGAUUCAUCGACAUUGCGAAGGAGUUGCUUCAUAUCGCUGCGACUUAUGGGACCAGCAUUGAGAUCGAAGGAGUCUUGGUGAGUGCACGGAGUGUUUCUCGCCAUCUUGAGAAGGAUUACGAAAAAAAUAAAGCAAUUUAGAACGGCUCCAACAGGUAUGCCUGCUGUCAAUAUAUCUAGGCUAUGUGUUGUAAUUGUUAUGCUUGUCUUAUGAAGUACACGUACUAGACUUGGAAUAGGCUUCACUCUAGUACUUUGGUCCAGCACUCUUAAAAGCUGACAAUCAUAUAAAUCACUUUGAACAGAAUAACGAUGGACCACACUUUGCUUAUUAGUAGUUAAUUUUAGUCAAACGCAGAUUACACUGGUCUACAUUGAGUACUUAAUAACUGUUCCUAGUUCAUUUUUUGACGCUGAUUUCAGAUUUGUAAUUGAAAUUCAGCUAACAUGUCAGGUUUCAGAGAUGCACAUUGCUGAUGUUUUAGACAAAUUGCCAUAUCGGCACAAUAUUACGAGUAUGAACUAUGUCAUACCAAACUUGUGUUAAAGGGUUACUGUGAAAACAGUCAUGAACACGCAUACAGACAGAUGCUACAGCAUACAUUUAUAGCUCUCUUAACUCACAAAAAGUGAUGUCAGCAUGUUCAGAAAUGUUUGAGACACUUGCUUUUACGCUUGUACUGUGCAUUAGUGUCUCUUUGCAAGAACCAACAGUAGUCUCCCAUCAUACUGGGAUUGAACUUUCCCUGAUAUCUGCUUUCCAUCGGCUUCAUAUCUUGAUGAAAUCUUUCCCCAUGCUCAUCACUUACAUCGCCAAGACUGGAUGGAAAGAAGUCAAGGUGCGAAUGCAGGAAGUGCAUCUUCAGUGACAUUCGGGCACCCAUUGCCUGAUAGGCUGUCAACAUGUUCUCCACCAGCGCACAAUCCUUGAUUUAUUCUUCUUUGUAAAUCCAGCAAUGUUUGUCAUACAAAAAUAAGUCUGAGUGAUGGUCUGUUGGUUCACGCCACACCAUUGGCACAGUGAAUGGCAUUUUCUGUCCUUUGCCAUUCAGCCACUGUGUUAAACCGGAAUAGCAGACAGUGUAGCAUACAUGAGGUGCCCAUGCUUUAUUCUGAUCGCCAACUUUGCAGCCAAAAUAAUGGUAGUAUGCACUUCUAAAUAUGCUGGACAUAUUCUUUCGCUGAUCUUGUGCAGUAAAUUGUCCGCAGACGUAACAGAAGUUAUCGGGAUGGUUCACACAACCUCGCCUAUUCAUAUUGUCUAUGAAAAUGGAAACAAAGGUAAAAAGUAAGCACAAUGACGUACAUUUGUAAACCAGUAGUAUUAGUAGUAAAUUUAUCAAUGAGAUGUCCAAAAAUGGAAUAUAAUAUUACACACACAGUAAAGUACCGAUGCAUCACGGCAGCGUUAACGACGAAAAUGGUAUAAACACAAACCGGCGCAUAACUUGCGCAUAACCGACGUGAUGGACAAAAACGGUUUUCAGAUUUAGAAUUAGCAUGUCGAAUUUUAUAAGGUACAGGUGACAGACUUCCAUUAGCAAAAUGACUGUUGACCAGUGUUAUUUACACCUCUCACACAAACGCGUUUUGUCCUAAUGCCUUCUCGAAUCAGUGUGCACACGUGCGAUCCUGCCCUAUUUUGUUCUACUUUACGAAGUAAACAUGUCUUAAAUAUUUUCUGGUUAAUGUGUUGUGUGACCAGUUCACCGCGAGGAGCCCUCGAGUCAUGCGGGAAGCUUGCGAAAUAGUCAUUUGAGGACAAAAUGCAUGUGAUGAAAGAUGCACAGUAAUCUCGUUAAUGAAAUACAUUCUGUGCAUAUUUUCUGAAUCACAAAAUGAAUUUCGCCCCCUUUAAUGUUCAAUUUCUAAGCCACAAAAUGCACUUCGUCUCUGAAGUGAACUUGUCAUGCAGGCAAUGCUUUUGUGGAACCACAAAACGUUUCUUCUUUUUUUUCUGAAUCAUGAAAGGCACGUAGUAGGUUGGAGUAGUAACUUCCAAUGACCAGCAGGUGGAGUGAUUUCUGCAGAUUUAUGCAAUCCCAGUUUACUGAAUAAUGUCUUCAGGAUGUCCUCUGAACAUUCGCACGAACAUUUGUCUGUGGAGUCCUUUAAAGGUAUUUAAGAUAUUAUCAGAGGACGUCCAGUGAGCAUUUGGAGGCUUUGAGGGAACAUUAGUGAUAAGUUCUUGAAGAUGUCAGGACAUUUUAUAGUGAAGCUUAAGUAACUUUGACAGUGUAACUUUUUACAAUUAACAAUUAACUACAACUAACAAUUAAGUAACUUUUUGCAGUAAAUUAGGGAAGACUCUCCACAAACACUUGAGUGAAAAGAGUGUGAACUGGAUAAAGUUCAAGAAACUGCUGCGAUAUCCCUAAGGAACACAGAUCGUUGAAGUGCAUUCAUUGGGAAUAAAUGAAGCAGCCAUGGAUAAACCAUUAAUAUAAGCAAAGGAUAAAUCCUGCUUAGGAUCAAUAUUUUACCUGUCCUGAUGCCAACAGAACAGCGAUAAAAGUUAGUUGUGCGAUUGUACAUAAAUAUAACCAGACAACAAUACAGUAGGGUGCAAGAUUUUACUGAAAGCACAUUUUACAGUAUUUACAAUAUACUGUAACUGACCACAUGGUAGCCACAGUUCUUGCUCCGUCCAUAAGACAGUCUUAGCUUGCACAUGGAGCCCGUCGUUUCUUGAUAUUCUGUGGUGAACAGAGCCAACACCAACCAUCAGACUAGUGUUACCUGAAGCAUAACAACUCCAGCAGAACAACGAAGCACCUAUUCUUGCUUCGAUAAAUGCUGAAGCUGACAAUUUGUCUUGCCCCGCUGUUCGAAAUGCACGAAAUGAACGUGCCAGACUUCUUUCGUUUUGUUGCCCAUACGUCCAGCACCAUUUUAACUCCUCAAAACUAAGCCCAGUACCUUGAGGAGCAUCUUUGGAAUCCUCAGGAAGGAUCUAAUGAAAGAACUGAUCCUCCCAUGUCUGCUGCCCAAAAUAACAUCUGGGGCCUCGGGGUCUCCUUCGUAGUCUGCACCACCUGAAGACAAUAAUGUAGGGUGAGUAUACAGGCCUUUUUACCACUUUCCAUUACCUUCUUCUUGAGCUUGGGCCAUGGGCAUAUGCUAAUCACUCUGUUGAAAGGUGUGCUAUCCGCAGGUGAUGCAGUACCUGUCGCAGCUGCUGUGGCUGGGCUGCAGCACGUAUCCUGGACCGCAGGGGUGCAUGGUUCCUCACCAUGAGGUAAGUUGCGGUCCAGGUGGAGGAACUUUGAUGCAACAUUUCUGAGCAGAGCCUGGCCAGACUCGCUCAGUUUAUCAUCUUCCAUCGGCAGAACAACAAAGCACCUUUUCUUGCUUCGAUGUAUUCUGAAGCAGAUACUCUCUGCUUUACCCUGCUGUUCAAAGUGCACCUCCACGUGCCAGACUGCAUUCAUUUUGCUGCACAUUUUGGGGUGCUUGAAAGAUUAUUUCAAAUAAUAAGAUCACUAAUCUUUAUCUUAUUCAGUGAAGUGUAGUGAACGGAACUAGACACAGUGCUACAAAAUAUCGUACUGACACUCGGGAACUGCGCCUCAGAAUUUAUACACGGCUAUUGCUUACGUAGUCUUGGAACGUACAAUCGUCUCCAUGGAAAUAUAAUUCAGCGGGACAGCCAAUGAGAUACCUAGCUACUGCAGCCAAUGAAAUGCCUAGCUGUGACAGCGAUGGCGUGCCUACGGGAAGUUUAACAUAAUAAAAUUUCCAUCCUCACAAUGACUUUCUUUUCAGUCGGAAUGGAUCCAAUAACAAGGUCUCCUGUACCGACGUUGAUAAUCUGUUCCGGCCAAACAACCGUGACGACAAAAAUCGGCCACGGUCUUACAAUGAGGUGACAUUUGACCAUCGGGGUGCGGGGUGGUUGCCGGCUGAUUAAUCAUUACUUUCCCCUAGAUUGGGGAUGGGACUGAAAUUGUAUCCAAAGGGGAGCAUCGGGACCGGGAAUCAUAAUAUAUUUAUAAAUUCAGUGGAAACUGCGUAUAGUGAUCCCGGUAAUAGUGAUCAGUCGCAUAUAUAGCUCAAAAAGCUUGCGACAAAAUCAUUACUGUACAAAUUCUGUUUAAAUAACUCACCUAUAGUAAUCAAGUAGUCCGCUUACAGAGUUUGUUUCGGGUCUUUUUAAACGUUAUAUAUUAAAACAGCGUUUUCUUUUUUUUUUUUUACUUUGAUCAUCCUACCUUGCGGGAGCCCGUCUGCUUCUCACUGGCUAUCCGAGGCUAAUGCGGCGUGCACAGAAAACAUGACAAGAAAGUCAUUUUCUCUCAGUAACAAGCAUAGGCUCAUCAAA